UGGGGCGGCCGGGUGUCCCCCCUCCCCGGCCCGGCGCCCUCUGAUCCUCGGACCCCGGCCCGGCAGACCCCGUGUUCCGCCCGCACCCGCCCCGACCCCGACAGACCCCGGCGCCCAGACCUCUCUCUCUCUCUCUCUCUCUCUCUCUCUCUCUCUCUUUCUCGUGUCGGGGAGCCUAAUUUUCCUCCGGAGACGUCCCUAAAACGGACCUGAUGCACGGAGAGACUCUUUACUCCCUGCUUAUUAUUUUGAUGUCCGUUUAAGCAUAACUGGGCGCUUCACCGGAGUGGGAACAGCGCACAGACAUUUACAAAGGCCAGCCGCAGGAACACGGCAGGUGUCCUGUGCAGUGUCUGUGUCCUUGUAGCUUUCAUCCUGGGCAGGCUCCACGACUUUUCCAGACUUCUGUUUGAAGUGGAAGGUGGCGCCAUUAGGUCGGGUGGCGCACGUUCCCUUUGAGGCGACCGACUUCUCAGUCCUCCUGAAAGGUUCUUGUUUUGUUUUGUUUUGUUUUGUUUUGUUUUAGGCUCACCUGUGGGUGAGGUGCUGUGAGGCCGGCCUCUGGGGGUGGGGCCGAGCGGGUUGGGAGGAAAGCACCCAGCCCCCGCUGUGGCCCCCUUCCGGCGGUCAGGUCAGCCUUCACACAUGACCCCGGGCGGGUUUUGGAAUCCUGGAAUUCCCCUUAGGAAUCUGAAGCGGGGGAUCCAGUAAGGCGGCUGGCAUCCAGAGAGCCAGGCUGCUGCUUCCCUGUCUGCUGAGUCACUUCCACCCUGGGCGUGUCCCCGAGGCCAGGAGAAAUAAUGGCUUGAACUUGACCAGCGUGUUUUCUGGAGCACCUAGUGCACGUUUUUUGCGAACCCACAAACGAGGCGAUAAACAUAGUUUCUGCGGUUGGGCUCCGUUCCAACACCGCGAGGGCCUGGGAAUGCCGUGAUGGGAUUGGGUGCCCUGUGUCACCGUUCCUGGGGACCGGGGCCCUCCCUGUCCAGACACACGCUGGUCUGGUUCCUUUGGGCUUAAUUUCCGUGUGUCAGGAAACCUUUAAACACUGUCAUUCCUAUGCUCUCCUCAACCUUUCGGUUUCCUGACCCGAUGUCUAAUGAUUUUUCUUGUACUCUUGGGUUUUACUGGGCUGCUUAUCGGGUUCUGUGAUUGUAGCCUUGACAUUUUUGUAAACCUGCGUAGAGACCUUCUUAGUCCUCUGAGACUCGCUGAGCUGAAGGUAGCAUCUAGGAAGUCGGAGACGGCGGGGGGCAAAUUUCAUUGCCAGAAAUUCCCUCUUCCGUUUUCUUGAGGUUUUGCUGGUGAGGAGGGUCCCAAACCUUUGCAAAAAGAAGGAAGUGCACGUUUAAGACAACUGCGACGCUCCAUCGUUAUAAACAAUAACAAUGCAUGUUGGCAGCAUAAGGAUAUACUACGUCCAAAAUUCUAGUUGACGAGUGGGGAGCCCUUACGGCGGUUUUCAGAGGCCCCCGUCAUAGGAAAGGAAGCUUGCGGGUUUCCUGUUUCUGAGGCCUGCAUAUCAGCUUGUCCAGAAAGUGGUUACGUCUUAAAUGGGGUGAGCCUUCUAACCACGUGCGCCUCGUCCUCCUUCCUUUUGGUCGUUCAUGAAUGUGUCACGUGCUCUGAGCCAAAGCUCAGACAUCUCCUCCCUCUCGUUUUGAUGAGGCUCAGGGAGGAGAGGGAUCACGGUCAUCUCGUCCCUUUCUGUCUUCGUAGGAGCGUUCUGUACCUCUUGACUUUGGAACUGGCCGUGUCUCUCAAGGGCUCUCCUCGGCCCCUUCCUGCGCGCCUCCAGCCUGUCUUCCCUGAAGCUGCUCUGCAGGCAGGGUGGGCCGGCAGAACUGCCUGGAACCAUGUCAGUGACCCCUUAUGGCUGCAGUCCAGCCCAGGGCCUGACUCAGCCCGGCCCGCAACGCCAGUCCAAUGAAUGGAGUCACAGAAGCCUAGGUCACAGCAGACAAGCGCGGCCUCAGCCUGGAAGAGGUGUCGGGGACAUGGGACGCUUUGAUCUUCCCAUGCUGUAUGGAGCCCAUGAGCCCCCUCUGACUGAUCACCCAGGAAGAGGCUGCCUGCUGUCUCCUUGGGUCAUUGCAGCCCCGGGCCUCACCUCCAGCAACCUGGAUGGGCAGGCUGGCGGGUGGGAGAUGGGCGGUGGCUAAGUCUGGCGUCUGGGGCAGACACCCUGCUCUUGGAUCCUGGCUCCACCACCCCCCCCACCCCCCCGAGCCAUGUGGCUCUGGGUCUCAGUUCCCGCAUCUGCAGAAUGGGGUGAGGAGGGUCCCACCCUCAGUGGGUGCGAGCAGGGAGGGGCGGAGGUCCACCCACACACAGCGGGGCACAGUGCGUGUCGGUACGGUAGGUCAGACUUUGCUGAAGUCCUGGUUCUUGUGGUCUUGGCUUCCCUGGGGAUUUUACUCGUGAAUAAGAACGACGAUACGAGUGUGUUUGUCUUCCCAGCAUCCGCAGGGGAAGGUCUCCUUACCCCCUUCUCUUGUGGCUCGGAGCAGUGAGGUCCUCUGCCCGAGCUGCACAGAGUGCCCUCCCUCACCUGGGACCUUCGACCUCGUGUCCCGAUGCCCUGGGCUCUCUGCCCUGUCCGAGGAAGACCGUUGACAAGCAUCCCAGAGUUGUGCUCUGGGGGAAUUUCUGUACUUCUCUAAAGUGGCUUCCUGCUCCUGGUGGCUGUCAGGACUGACCCCCACCACGUCAGGGAUGUGAAUAAAUACCGUAUUUAAGGCUUGUGCACGUCCGUGGAUGAACUAGACAGAGGUUCCAUUAUUUCUGGGAGGUCCCGCAGGCACGUUCAGCUUGCCGGCUGAUGAGUCUACUGACACGGAAGUGUCUACACUUGGAGUGACUGGAUGGAAAUUUCCACCGCAGGAACAAGGCGCCCAGCAACAUUACCCUUCAGCAGUUGGCUCGGGAGCGAGGUUCAUUGGGUUAUCUUAGGCGGGUGUGAGAUGUUACAGGGCGCUGUGCGUGUUCCUCUUGUUGGCUAGAGUUUCAUGGCUGGAAAUGAAGGACGUCGUGCCCAGUGCUGGAACGUGGCGGGGUCGGCCACCUCUCGGGCACGCGCGGUGAUGGGCCGCGGUCUCGGCGUGGUGGCAGAUCGCCGGCGUGUGAAUCUUCUUGGAUUUGCAGAUACAAAGUGUGAAGUCCUGCCAGGUU